GCAGUCGUGCGUCUCCAGCUAUGAUGGAGACGCGGCGUACAGCUCAGUAACACGUGGCUAACCCACCCUUGAGACGGAGACAACCCCGGGAAACUGGGGCUAAUCCUCGAUAGGAGAAGACACCUGGAAGGGGUCUUUUCCCAAAAGGCGCUUAGAUCAUGCUUCUAGACGUCGCUCAAGGACGGGGCCGCGGCCGAUCAGGUUGUUGGUGUGGUAAUGGCUCACCAAGCCUAUAACCGGUACGGGCCGUGAGAGCGGUAGCCCGGAGAUGGGCACUGAGAUAAGGGCCCAGGCCCUACGGGGCGCAGCAUGCGCGAAAACUCCGCAAUGCGCGAAAGCGUGACGGGGUUAUCCCGAGUGCCGUCCGCUGAGGAUGGCUUUUCUCUGGUGUAAAGCGCCGGAGGAAUAAGGAGAGGGCAAGACUGGUGUCAGCCGCCGCGGUAAUACCAGCUCUCCGAGUGGUGGGGACGAUUAUUGGGCUUAAAGCGUCCGUAGCCGGCUUGGCAAGUCUUCUGUUAAAUCCAGCGGCUUAACCGUUGGGCUGCGGGAGAUACUGCUAGGCUAGGGGGCGGAAGAGGCCGACGGUAUUCUCGGGGUAGGGGUGAAAUCCUAUAAUCCUGAGAGGACCACCAGUGGCGAAGGCGGUCGGCUAGUACGCGCUCGACGGUGAGGGACGAAAGCUGGGGGAGCGAACCGGACUAGAUACCCGGGUAGUCCCAGCUGUAAACGAUGCAGGCUA
rnacentral:rRNA from 1 species